rnacentral:rRNA from 1 species
CGAGAGGGGGAAAGAUUUAUCGCCUUGGGAGCGGCCCGCGUCGGAUUAGCUAGUUGGUGGGGUAACGGCCUACCAAGGCUUCGAUCCGUAGCUGGUCUGAGAGGACGAUCAGCCACACUGGGACUGAGACACGGCCCAGACUCCUACGGGAGGCAGCAGUGGGGAAUCUUGCGCAAUGGGGGCAACCCUGACGCAGCCAUGCCGCGUGAACGAUGAAGGCCUUAGGGUUGUAAAGUUCUUUUACCCGUGACGAUGAUGACGGUAACGGGGGAAUAAGCUCCGGCUAACUUCGUGCCAGCAGCCGCGGUAAUACGAAGGGGGCUAGCGUUGUUCGGAAUUACUGGGCGUAAAGCGCGCGCAGGCGGUUCGAUAAGUUGGGGGUGAAAUCCCCGGGCUCAACCCGGGAAUGGCCUUCAAGACUGUCGAGCUAGAGGACGAGAGAAGUGAGUGGAAUUCCCAGUGUAGARGUGAAAUUCGUAGAUAUUGG